rnacentral:rRNA from 1 species
CAGCCGCCACGGUAAUACGGAGGGAGCUAGCGUUGUUCGGAAUUACUGGGCGUAAAGCGCGCGUAGGCGGUUACUCAAGUCAGAGGUGAAAGCCCGGGGCUCAACCCCGGAACUGCCUUUGAAACUAGGUGACUAGAAUCUUGGAGAGGUCAGUGGAAUUCCGAGUGUAGAGGUGAAAUUCGUAGAUAUUCGGAAGAACACCAGUGGCGAAGGCGACUGACUGGACAAGUAUUGACGCUGAGGUGCGAAAGCGUGGGGAGCAAACAGGAUUAGAGACCCCAGUAGUCCCUGUCUCUUAUAC